rnacentral:rRNA from 1 species
GAUGAACGCUGGCGGCGUGCCUAAUACAUGCAAGUCGAGCGAACAGAUGAGGAGCUUGCUCCUCUGACGUUAGCGGCGGACGGGUGAGUAACACGUGGAUAACCUACCUAUAAGACUGGGAUAACUUCGGGAAACCGGAGCUAAUACCGGAUAAUAUAUAGAACCGCAUGGUUCAAUAGUGAAAGACGGUUUUGCUGUCACUUAUAGAUGGAUCCGCGCCGCAUUAGCUAGUUGGUAAGGUAACGGCUUACCAAGGCAACGAUGCGUAGCCGACCUGUGAGGGUGAUCGGCCACACGGGAACUGAGACACGGUCCAGACUCCUACGGGAGGCAGCAGUAGGGAAUCUGCCGCAAUGGGCGAAAGCCUGACGGAGCAGCGCCGCGUGAGUGAUGAAGGUCUUCCGAUCGUAAAACUCUGUUAUUAGGGAAGAACAAAUGUGUAAGUAACUAUGCACGUCUUGACGGUACCUAAUCAGAAAGCCACGGCUAACUACGUG